UCCCCGUUUUCCGGGGCAGUCCCUGUAGAGUUCCCGGCGCUAACGCAUGAAGUGCCCCGCCUGGGGAGUACGGCCGCAAGGCUGAAACUCAAAGGAAUUGACGGGGGCCCGCACAAGCGGUGGAGCAUGUGGUUUAAUUCGACGCAACGCGCAGAACCUUACCUAGGCUUGACAUGCUGGGGAAAGCCGGUAGAAACAUCGGCCCCUCUUCGGAGCUCCAGCACAGGUGCUGCAUGGCUGUCGUCAGCUCGUGUCGUGAGAUGUUGGGUUAAGUCCCGCAACGAGCGCAACCCCCGCCCCGUGUUGCUAACAGGUUGCAAAACGCUGAGGACUCUCGGGGGACUGCCGGUGCCAAACCGGAGGAAGGUGGGGAUGACGUUAGGAAUGUCGAUA
rnacentral:misc_RNA from 1 species